ACAAGCGCUCAGACGAGAAAUUUACGAGGGUAUAAAUAGCAGGAACUGACGAAUGGCGGGAGAAAAAGGGGCGAAGGAAGAUCUGUGAACUCUGCGAUGGAGAGUGAGAGGAUAAUUGGUCAGAGUGAGAAACGGACGACGAGGAAAGAGGUAUUGGAGAAGAAGAAGGCGAUUGAGAAUGUAAUUAAAGAAGCUUAUUCGGUGAAAGAUCAUCUCUCUUUUUUCCGGAGCUUUCGCCACUACAAAGCGAAUAGUGGUUUGCCUUCCUGCUUGGUCUUAUUAUUAUUUGUAUUCUGCAUCUACGCACAUCUAAAGUCGGGAUGGGGUAAUAAGCUAACAGUUGAUACGAAGAAGUACAUUCAAAAUCUUCUCAAGUUAAAUAUGGAGGGACCUUAUGGACAUGAGUGGCCAGCAGAGGAAAAGAUAAAGCGGAGAGAAAUGGUGGCAGGAGAAGCCCGUUAUAUAUUUGUCCAUGAAAUUUCAAGUGAAGAUUACAAUGCAGUAACUCAGCCACAUGACUCAGACAUGACAUGCACUUGUCACGGCCCAAUAGUUGGGUUUGUACAUUACCGGUUUAUUAUGGAGGAAGAGGUUCCCGUGGCUUAUGUUUAUGAAUUGCAGCUUGAACCCCGUGUUCAAGGAAAGGGUUUAGGAAAAUUCUUAAUGCAGCUAAUUGAGCUUAUUGCCUGUAAGAAUAAGAUGAGUGCUGUGGUGCUAACUGUUCAAAAAGCAAAUUGGCUAGCAAUGGACUUCUACAUUGGUAAACUAAGGUACACAAUUUCUGCAAUUUCGCCUUCAAGAGUUGAUCCGUUGUUCAAACAAGAUACAAGCUAUGAGAUCCUUUGUAAAACAUUCGACCAUGAAGCUAAAGCAGUUUUGGAGGCAUCUUAAGCAUGUAUGCACCAAGGAAAAUUAUGCCUAAGAUCUGUCAAAAGCUCAACAAAACAGCUAGCAGAUCAGUUCUGCAAUGCUGAGACAUGUCUUUAUUUAAACAUGAAAGUCCAAAUUACAUUUACUUCUCCAGGUGCAAAUUCGAUUUCUUUCUCAUGCCACCCCUCGAAAACAUGGCCUCUGUUCAGCUCAGCUUUCAGCUUCAUUUUAAGACCCCACAUUGAGAGAAAUGUUAAUCAAUUGAUGCAUCUUACCUUUGAUUUUAUGCUAUGGUUGCUUUAAUGAUUUUUACCUGAUCAUAUUCUAAUAAGAUGCUCCACUCUUUAUUCUUAACCAAGGACCGUGUCGUAGCUUCAGGGAGGUGAAUCCUGUAGUUCAAGUCGCCUAGCCAAAUCACCCUUCUGUAAAAUACUUUUGUUUGUUAGCACACAGGAUUCAGAGCUUAUGAUGCAAUAUUCAUGCUGUCUUAACUUAUUUAGGAAUGUUAGCGUAAUUUUUUUUCUUGGAUCGAAUAAAAAACUUAUCUUGCCGCUGCCUGUGGAAAGAAUUGUGCCGAAACAUAAAAGGUAUACAUACUCGUGGUCAAGGAUUUUUCUUGGCAGAUGCUGUUGGGGUUUUGCUGGAAAUAUUGUGCGCGCCAAUAUAUGUGCUACAUCCGUGUUUCUUUGUCUGUGGUCGCCUUCUUUGCUGCCUGAAGCUAAGUGUGUACACACAAAACAAAAGCUUGUUGCAUGCAAGCAAAAUCUGAUGGAGACUGAACCCUGAUAUGAAGCAUACGUGCUCUUAGCGUCCCAAGAUACCACAACCCACACACGAGACAUCCAGAUGACUGAUAUGAUCGAGCAGGUCUUGGCGCACCCAUACGGUAAUAUAUAUUCCAACCAUUUGUUUACUAAUUAUGCAUUCAAAUUCUGCAUCAGUUGAG